ensembl:processed_transcript 9630013D21Rik RIKEN cDNA 9630013D21 gene
AGUUUCCUCGGCAGGUUUGGCCGCUGGCUGGUCUCUGCCCCUCUAUGGACCCGGGAUGCCUCUCGCACCUCGGUGCCUCCUGCAGCCCCCACAUCACCCCAUGCCCUGUGCGCUGCAGAGCGUGCCCGCACGAGCCACAGCCUCUGCCCUUCGUGGCCUUGCUUGACCUGGCUGUCCCGGGCACCCGGAGCCACCGAGGCUGCCCCCAGCCCAGUCCGGAGCUGGCCUGUCUCCCAGCCCAGUUUCCCUCCCUGAGCUUUAGGACGCGUCCCGCCCGGGGCUUGGAAGCCCACAACCCUGCCGCAGCGAAAGGCAAAGGGCGGGAGGAGAGCUACAAAGGAGGCGGGUGGCCGCAGCCAGAGCCAGCCCCCAGCCGCGGGUAACCUUGGAGGCGCCCUCGAGUGAGUGUGAGCGCCGGGAUCGUGGCUAGCCGGCGCACCCGGAGGGGCGGGAGGAGGGAGCUGGGAGUUGGGAAAGGGGAACCGCUCCCCAAGAAACCCAGGAGUUGUGGGCGACCACAGCAGCCCCUCCUGGUGCUGGCCCUGGGGCAGCCCUCACGCUGGGUAAAGUUGGCCCCGGGGCUGCGGCCGGAGGGCAGUGCGCGAGCUGAGAAGAGCAGGCCGGUGAGCUCCUGGCUGGCCCGCGGAGGUGAGCUGGCGGCCAGAGCCGCGGGCGCGCUGCAGCCACUCGGUGCCCUACUCAGAGUAGCUCUCCUUUCCUCCCCUGGCGAUGACAGCUGAGGACAGCCGGGCUUCCCAGCCAGGCGUCCAACUGCUAAGAAGACAAAUUCUUCUCUGGCUUUUUACCGUCUUGGACUGUUCGCAAAACUGCCCCCACGGUUUUGCUUUUCCUCCGUAGUAUACUAGACAUCCGGAACCGAAAAUACACCUUCUUCAUUCAAAAGGACCCAAGCCUGAGCGGUGACCUUCAGGGCUGGGGUGUGCAGAACACCUAGGAGUAUGUUUUUUUCCCCCAAUCUUCAGCGGUGCCUCAAAAGAAUUCCCCUUUUCUCCCAACCCCCAGAUCUGGAUAUAGACUUGGUAAAUUAAGAUUCCAGCGAAAUAUUUUGCCAUCUGUGUAGAGACACUGUGUGGACUUUAGGUGUUAGGAUGUGGUUUUGGAAUUUUCUGUGCUGUCUUUAACUCUCAGCAGACAUUAAAAUAACAGCUUGGUCUCGGCCAGCAAGUGAGCAAAGGUUAUCCCAGCUACCACAGCACCUGCAAAAGCACAAGUGGAACUCACACAUUUUGCUUCCCGUGUUCUAAAAUGGAUUCUGAGCUGUCCAGAGAAAUCCGCACAGAAACGGAGGAGAACCUGAGAACAGAGGUGUACAUAUUAAAAAUUACACAGGCGAGCUCCUUUUCACUGAUGAUCCAGAGAGGGUGUAGGUUAAAAUCUUAGAACUGAAAGCACUGAACAGCUCCUACUUCUGCCUGAUUUUAUUGAAAGACCUUGUAGCAUAAUCUAAGGUCAGCAAAUGAAGUUUCUGGCUACCAACAUAAAAGAACUUUAAGAAUCAGUUCCCUGUAGGGAAAAUAACAUCUCAAAAUAAAGGAUGGAAAUAGCACACAUUUUUUUUUUAAGCAGAAAAUAUUAUACAGAGGAUCAAGGUAAUUUUUAAAAAUCAUUUCUAUCCCAAAGUAUAUUUUUACCAUUAUUUUGAAUUUAAAUAUAUAUAUAUAAUUUAAACAAGAGAUAAUAUCUGUUUAUAAUGAGGAUUUUCUACUUAGCAACAGAAUAUACUGAAGAAAAAUAAGAUCAAAGCAUUGGACAUAAAAAACAACCUCCACAAUGACAAUGAUAUUAAAUCAGCUAACAGAAAUGUCACCUCUCACAAAUUCACAAAAUUCAUCUACUAAUUUGAAGAAAAGGAUUUCCAAGAAAAACUAUUUAAAUCUCCUUCCAUUAGAUCAAAAGAUUACUGGAAAGCAACAUGAAUAUCCGGAACCAAAACCCAGUGGCCUCUGUGUGGGUCUCUGACAGCAAUUUUUUAAAAACAGAUUUCUAAGAUUGUUUUAAUGUAAUUGUGCAUAUAUUAGCAUUUGGAAAAAGUUCUCCAUAAAACCUUGGAUUAUCCAGAAUUGUGUCAUCAUUUGCAGACUAAUAAAUUAUGUACACAUAAGAGACAUAUAUGGUGUAGGAUAAAUAUCUUUUCUUUAUUAAUCUUAACGUAUUCACUUAUUCAUUUGGUUUACAUUUUAAUGAGACAAAAGAAACACAUAAGUAAGUUAUGAAUAUUUAUUUUGCAUCUGCAUUUCCUUGUUUAAUAUUCAUAACUCCUUCAAGGCAAGGGUUGGUUUGGGCCUUCUUUUUAAAAAAAAAAAAAAAAAUCCCAUUCUACCAAUCAGGAAACUCAGAAUUGAUAGAAAGUGCGCACUUGUCUGUAGACACAAGUUGGUAACUUAAAAUAGCACAAGGAUUCAAAUUUGUGUCUUUUUUUUUCCUGCCAGAUGGAAAUAUUUUCAUCAAAUUGGCACAAAUCAGUCAGGUGGCUGAUAAUCAUGUACCAUGAACCGAUCAGCAUGGUCGCCUAAUAGGCUUAUGCUGCAGGGACUCUAGGCUUCUGCAUUUGAAAACUGGGAGAAACAACCCCUCAUUUUUUUAAGUUCUUGUAAAGAGCAGCAACAUGUGUGCAAAGAUCCUGCCCCUCAGGAGCCUUUAAUAAACCACAGCUCUUACUAAUAAACCACAAGCAACACAAACACACACAUUUUUUUUUUGUUUGUAUGCUUUUGUUUUGAGAAUUACUUUGUAGGUCAGGUUGGCCUGAACUUAUGACAAUCCUCUUGCCUCAGUUCCCAAGGUUACAGGGUUAUAGGUAUGAGCCAGCAUUGCCAACUAGGAAAUCCAUUCUUGACCUCAAGGGACUUAAAAACUAUUUGGUUAAAUAAACUUUCUAUAUGGUAUGCAAACUGUAGCUGAAAACUAACUGAGACACAAGUAAGUGCCUGGUGAUGUGUACUCUAGAUUGUACUGACAAAGGGGCCUUUCUAGGGGAAAUAUUGGAAACCCUGUUUUAAAAAAGAAAAAAGGA